GAACGCACAUUGCGCCUUCUGGUAUUCUGGGAGGCAUGCCUGUUUGAGCGUCAUUAAACCCCACUCUAGCAGUUUUGCUAGGAUAUGAAGGAAGAGCACAUUGGAGGCUCUCCUUUGAAAUGUAUUAGUAGAUAUAAAGUUGUGAAUUACACUAUUUUGAUGUAAAAGUCUUUAUUGGUUGUGAUUUGUAUACAACUAUAUCUUGCUUUAACAUUUUUUUGCUAGGCUGUUGAAUCAUAAGAGUUAUAUAAAUCUUAUUUUUAAAACACUUACAAAAAAUAUAAUUUUAUGGUUGACCUCAAAUCAGGUAGGGAUACCCGCUGAACUUAAG
rnacentral:misc_RNA from 1 species